rnacentral:rRNA from 1 species
GACGAAGGAUGCAAGCGUUAUCCGGAUUCAUUGGGUUUAAAGGGUGCGUAGGCGGACUUGUAAGUCAGUGGUGAAAUCUCUUCGCUUAACGAAGAAACUGCCAUUGAUACUGCAGAUCUAGAGUAUAGAUGACGUUGGCGGAAUAUGACAUGUAGUGGUGAAAUACUUAGAUAUGUCAUAGAACACCGAUUGCGAAGGCAGCUAACGAAACUAUAACUGACGCUGAGGCACGAAAGUGCGGGGAUCAAACAGG